UGUCUAAAAUAUAAUUUCCAUCGUCGUCUUCAAUCUCAUCUUAUCACCACUUUCAUCUGUAUCGCUUCCCUUUCUCCUCUUAAACGUAUACGUUCAACAUGUAAAACCUCAUAAAGCUCAAUCAUUAACUGCAGAUAUCCUAAAGCCAUGAAUCAAUAUCCAUCCCACCAACUCCACACUAUAUAUACCCCUUAUCAAUUUUUUCAUUCCCCUCUUCACCACAGUCACAGAAAUCAAUUUAUAGGAGCUACCGAAGGCAACAGAGACAUCGGAAUCAACCGGCAAGCCCCCCAUGUCUCUCUUCUUCAUUGACGUUGUUGCUGGUUUGGAUCAGUAUGAGCUAUGGAUUAGAUUAAAUUUAGUUUUAGGAAGCUAGACACACAGGUGGCUUCGUAAUUGGGAUGGAGCUCUUCCUAUUGAUCAACAGGUAUGAACUCAUCUUUAUAUUGGGCUCGGUAAAAUUCUAAUUGGUGACUGAAACUAUUCUAUCACAGGGUCGUGUCAUAUAGGUGUUCAUCUCUUCAAGUCCGUGUAACGACCUACAGCUCAAUUUCUUUGCAAUCAAAAGCAAAUAGAUAUAAUGUGUUCUCGACCACAGCCUCAUCGUCUGUUUCAUUCACAACUCGGUUAGCUUGAAGAGAAUGGCAUGGUGUUUGAGUUGGACAGAUUCAUGUUCCAUUCAUCUAAAGAAUUUGAAGCGAACUCUAUCGAAGGUUUUUUGGUCGUGGUAAUCGUUUGAAGAAAGGAAUUUUGGUGCACCUUCAGCAUAAAUAGGGCCGUAUCAUGAAUGCUUACCUGUUGGAUCAGCCUGCCAAUGAGUCUUAUAAGAGCCUACAAACUACAACUGAUCUGUCAGCUCAAAACCAAGAUGUUGCUGUUAUGGUCAAUGCGUCUGAGGUCACAAAGGUCAAGACGUUAACCAUUCGUGAGACCUUUGCCUUCUUGAAACAGGAACCAGCUCAGGUAAUUAGUAAUUAGUUUGAUACAAUAACCCAUACAUACUAAGUACGUAUAAUGCAUACUCUUUCCUAAUUGUAGGCCGCCUUUUUAGAUGUUUGCAUUCACGUUCCUUAUUACGACAAGGUAACAUGGUUUUCAAUUGAUAGAAUAACCAUUUCGUUUUUUGUCUUUUUUUUUGUACCAUCAAGUAACUUCCUUUGUGUUUCUCUAGGGAGUUCCUGCUGAGAUCUUAGAGCCGAUUGUGGGAAAAUGGUUGAUACCAGUAGGCAGUAGACCUAGAUAACUGGAAGUUAAGAAGAAGAGGUCAAGUAGGUUUGUAAUGUUUAUGUGUUUUUGAUAUUGUAGUGAUUAUGGCAUUAAUGAUUUGUUUCAUUUUAAAUCUGUGUUGCAGGUAAAUCUCAUGAUUCCCUACAUUGUAUCUAGAGGCUAUGGUCAAAAUAUUUAGUGCCUGCUCAGAGAAGAUGAUAAUGAUGUCUGAGAAACUCUUAAGAGAGAAGGAAGUCUCAAGCGGAUUGGACACAAUCAAGUUGGAUCUUGAAGCAUAAUUCUAGAGUCUUUUCAUAUUGUAGGCCUUACUCCGCUUACCGUGUUGAACUGCAAAUUUUGUUAUGUCACAAAGAGUCCCAUGUCAUUAAGGUUUUUGAUUUUUGAAUAUGCUCUUCAUCAAGUGUUUAUAGUAAGCUGAUUAAUUCUUCUAUAUUUCUGUUAGAUCACAUGCGGUUUAUGAAACUCUUUUUUUGAGGCAUAGCAUCCGUCUUCUUUCUACUUCCUGUAUUGGAAUUUGGAAGUUUUCAUAGAUCUUUCCGAGGCAAUGGUGAAUUUUCACAGUGAUCUGAAGAUUAUAAAUGAUUGCCUUGGUGCUCGGUCCUCAUUUUGUUAUUUUCCCUAGCAGGAAAUAAAUGUUGAGAAACUUCAGCAAAGUGACUACUCUAAUCUCAAACAUGAAGAAAUUAAGUUACUUAUGUUUUUACACUUCGGAAUUCAGUCUGCUACUUGAUAUCUGAGUUCAAAUGACAACCUAGAGCUCUCUAUAUAUUGU